rnacentral:rRNA from 1 species
GUCCACGCAGUAAACGAUGAGUGCUAGUUGUCGGGACUUAAGUUUCGGUGGCGAAGCUAACGCGUUAAGCACUCCGCCUGGGGAGUACGGUCGCAAGACUAAAACUCAAAGGAAUUGACGGGGACCCGCACAAGCAGUGGAGCAUGUGGUUUAAUUCGAUGCUACGCGAAAAACCUUACCAACCCUUGAAUCCCGAUGAUCGGUGUAGAGAUACACUUUCGGAGCAAUCCGCAUCGGAGACAGGUGCUGCAUGGCUGUCGU